UACGAAGGGGGCUAGCGUUGCUCGGAAUGACUGGGCGUAAAGAGCUCGUAGGCGGUUUGUCGCGUCUGCUGUGAAAACGCGAGGCUCAACCUCGCGCCUGCAGUGGGUACGGGCAGACUAGAGUGCGGUAGGGGAGAUUGGAAUUCCUGGUGUAGCGGUGGAAUGCGCAGAUAUCAGGAGGAACACCGAUGGCGAAGGCAGAUCUCUGGGCCGUAACUGACGCUGAGGAGCGAAAGCGUGGGGAGCGAACAGG
rnacentral:rRNA from 1 species